rnacentral:tRNA from 2 species
GCUGAGGUAGCCUAGCCCGGCAAGGCGCCGGUCUCGAAAACCGGUGGGUCAACCCCUCGGGAGUUCAAAUCUCCCCCUCAGCG